AUUGAACGCUGGCGGAAUGCUUUACACAUGCAAGUCGAACGGUAGAGGGGGCAACCCCCUUGAGAGUGGCGAACGGGUGAGUAAUAUAUCGGAACGUGCCCAGUCGUGGGGGAUAACGUAGCGAAAGUUACGCUAAUACCGCAUACGAUCUAAGGAUGAAAGCGGGGGACUCGCAAGAGCCUCGCGCGAUUGGGAGCGGCCGAUAUCAGAUUAGGUAGUUGGUGGGGUAAAGGCUCACCAAGCCAACGAUCUGUAGCUGGUCUGACGAGGACGACCAGCCACA
rnacentral:rRNA from 1 species